rnacentral:rRNA from 1 species
GCAAGUCGAGGGGCAGCACGAAUACUUGUACUUGGUGGCGACCGGCGCACGGGUGCGUAACGCGUAUGCAACCUACCUUAUACUGAGGAAUAGCCCAGAGAAAUUUGGAUUAAUACCUCAUAGUAUCAUUUAAAGGCAUCUGAAAAUGAUUAAAGAUUUAUCGGUAUAAGAUGGGCAUGCGUAAGAUUAGUUAGUUGGUGAGGUAACGGCUUACCAAGACUUCGAUCUUUAGGGGUUCUGAGAGGAUGAUCCCCCACACUGGUACUGAGAUACGGACCAGACUUCUACGGGAGGCAGCAGUAGGGAAUAUUGGUCAAUGGGCGAGAGCCUGAACCAGCCAUGCCGCGUGCAGGAAGACGGCCUUCUGGGUUGUAAACUGCUUUUAUAUGGGAAGAAAAUGACCUUGCGAGGUGAAUUGACGGUACCAUAUGAAUAAGCACCGGCUAACUCCGUGCCAGCAGCCGCGGUAAUACGGAGGGUGCAAGCGUUGUCCGGAUUUAUUGGGUUUAAAGGGUACGUAGGCGGCCAAUUAAGUCAGUGGUGAAAGCCAGCAGCUCAACUGUUGAACUGCCAUUGAUACUGAUUGGCUCGAGUUCUGUUAAGGUAGGCGGAAUUGAUGGUGUAGCGGUGAAAUGCAUAGAUACCAUCAGGAACACCGAUUGCGAAGGCAGCUUACUAGGCAGAAACUGACGCUAAUGUACGAAAGCGUGGGGAUCGAACAGGAUUAGAUACCCUGGUAGUCCACGCCGUAAACGAUGCUCACUCGCUGUUGGCGAUACACAGUCAGCGGCCAAGCGAAAGCGUUAAGUGAGCCACCUGGGGAGUACGCUCGCAAGA